rnacentral:rRNA from 1 species
GCGUUGUCCGGAAUCAUUGGGCGUAAAGGGCGCGUAGGUGGCCUGCUAAGCGUGCGGUGAAAGCUCGGGGCUCAACCCCGAGUCGGCCGUGCGAACUGGUGGGCUUGAGCACUGUAGAGGCAGGCGGAAUUCCGGGUGUAGCGGUGGAAUGCGUAGAGAUCCGGAAGAACACCGGUGGCGAAGGCGGCCUGCUGGGCAGUUGCUGACACUGAGGCGCGACAGCGUG